rnacentral:tRNA from 1 species
GCGGCACUAGCUCAGUUGGUAGAGCGCAACCUUGCCAAGGUUGAGCAAGGUUGAGGUCACGAGUUCGAGCCUCGUGUGCCGCUCCA